UGAAAGCUUCCCAGUGUGAUUCUUUUUUAAGCCAAGAUUGUGAACCAGUACACUAAAGGUGCUUGAGGAGACAAGAGAUGUUAUCAGAAAUCAGUUUACAUGCUCUCUCUGGGAACCAGUGAGUCGUUUACAGCAGUCUGCAUAUACUAUCUGAACAAAUGAACUUCGUCACAAAAUGAAUUCAGUUGGAGUUGUUUUCUUCUGCCAAGAAAUAAGAAAAAUAACGUAUCUCUUCAUUCAAUGAAUAUUUACUAAGCAUCUUCUAUGUAACAGACAAUGCUCUCUAGGUGCUGAGAAACAACAGAAUGAAGCAGACAAAAAUCUGCUCUUUCCUGGAGUGUACAUUAGAGUGGUGUAGACAAACAACAGAAAAAAUAAGAAGGAUUAUGAAUGAUGGAAGUUAUGCUCACAUGCUGGAGUGGUCCACUUUAAGAAGAUCCAGCCUAAAGAUCUGCUAUCGUCUAUAGCAUGAAGUUAUUAAACCCCCAAGGAUCCUUCGACUGAGAGAAGUUUUGAAAUAAAUCAACGAAAAUGAGCACAGCCUAUUUUCUGAACAUGGCACAUCACAGCUGCUUGACAGAAUGAGUACAGGUUUGCUUGUUUUUAAUCGAAUAAUAUCCCUUAAGUUUUGCAAGUUGUGGAAAGCAGUUUGAUAGACUCCAAGAAAUGUAUUCAAUUAUUUCAUGUACAGAAUCAGCAAGAAAAUGUUAAAAGGG